rnacentral:misc_RNA from 1 species
UCAAACUUGGUCAUUUAGAGGAAGUAAAAGUCGUAACAAGGUCUCCGUUGGUGAACCAGCGGAGGGAUCAUUACCGAGUUUACAAACUCCCAAACCCCAUGUGAACAUACCGUUUAUCCGUUGCUUCGGCGGUGCCGCCCCGGGCGCGGGCCUCUCUCGCGAGGCCGCCAGCCCCGGACCCAGGCGCCCGCCGGGGGACCCCAAAACUCCAUGUUGUCUAGCGGCAUCCUCUGAGCUUCGCGCUCCUGGCGAGCGUCGAAACAAACACAAAAUGAAUCAAAACUUUCAACAACGGAUCUCUUGGCUCUGGCAUCGAUGAAGAACGCAGC